rnacentral:rRNA from 1 species
UUCCGGUUGAUCCUGCCGGACCCCACUGCUAUCGGGAUGAGACUAAGACAUGCUAGUCGUGCACCUCCAAGCCACGGUGGAGGCGCGGCGCACAGCUCAAUAACACGUGGCUAACCUACCCUUGGGACGGAAAUAACCCCGGGAAACUGGGGCUAAUUUCCGAUAGGUGAAGAUUCCUGGAAUGGAUCUUCGCCGAAAAGGCGUCUAGACCAUGCUUCUAGGCGCUGCCCAAGGAUGGGGCCGCGGCCGAUCAGGUUGUUGGUGAGGUAACGGCUCACCAAGCCUAUAACCGGUACGGGCCGUGGGAGCGGUAGCCCGGAUAUGGGCACUGAGACAAGGGCCCAGGCCCUACGGGGCGCAGCAGUCGCGAAACCUCCGCAAUACGCGAAAGCGUGACGGGGUCAUCCCGAGUGCCGUCCGCUGAGGAUGGCUUUUCCCAAGUCUAAAAAGCUUGGGGAAUAAGGGGAGGGUAAGUCUGGUGUCAGCCGCCGCGGUAAUACCCGCUCUCCGAGUGGUGGGGACGCUUAUUGGGCCUAAAGCAUCCGUAGCCGGCUGGACAAGUCCCCUGUUAAAUCCAGCGAUUUAAUCGUUGGACUGCGGGGGAUACUGUCCGGCUAGGGGGCGGGAGAGGCCGACGGUAUUUCCGGGGUAGGGGUGAAAUCCUAUAAUCCCGGGAGGACCACCAGUGGCGAAGGCUGUCGGCUAGAACGCGCCCGACGGUGAGG